GCAUGGCUGUCGUCAGCUCGUGUCGUGAGAUGUAUGGUUAAGUCCUACAACGAGCGCAACCCCUGUCCUAUGUUGCCACUCCCGAAAGGGAAGCACUCUUAGGAGACCGCCUCGGUUAACGGGGAGGAAGGUGGGGAUGACGUCAAGUCCUAAUGGCCUUUAUGCCCAGGGCUACACACGUACUACAAUGGCCGGUACAGACCGAAGCAAGACCGCAAGGUGGAGCAAAUCGCAGAAAGCCGGCCCCAGUUCAGAUUGAGGGCUGAAACUCGCCCUCAUGAAGUCGGAAUCGCUAGUAAUCGCGUAUCAGCAGGUCGCGGUGAAUACGUUCCCGGGUCUUGUACACACCGCCCGUCACACCAUGGAAGUAAUUUGUACCGGAAGUCGAUGUCCCGAUUCCCGCAAGGGAUAGGAAGUCGCCCAUGGUAUGGGUUAUGACUGGGGUGAAGUCGUAACAAGGUAGCCGUACGGGAAUGUGCGGCUGGAUCACCUCCUUUUAAGGAGA
rnacentral:rRNA from 1 species